rnacentral:rRNA from 1 species
CGGGUGAGUAAUAUAUCGGAACGUACCCAGAAGUGGGGGAUAACGUAGCGAAAGUUACGCUAAUACCGCAUACGAUCUACGGAUGAAAGUGGGGGACCUUCGGGCCUCAUGCUUGUGGAGCGGCCGAUAUCUGAUUAGCUAGUUGGUAGGGUAAAGGCCUACCAAGGCGACGAUCAGUAGCUGGUCUGAGAGGACGNCCAGCCACACUGGGACUGAGACACGGCCCAGACUCCUACGGGAGGCAGCAGUGGGGAAUUUUGGACAAUGGGCGCAAGCCUGAUCCAGCAAUGCCGCGUGAGUGAAGAAGGCCUUCGGGUUGUAAAGCUCUUUUGUCAGGGAAGAAACGGCUGAGGUUAAUACCUUGGCUAAGACGG